CACGUAGGGCGCAAGCGUUGUCCGGAAUUAUUGGGCGUAAAGAGCUCGUAGGCGGUCUGUUGCGUCCGCUGUGAAAACUCGGGGCUUAACCCCGAGCCUGCAGUGGAUACGGGCAGACUAGAGGUAGGUAGGGGAGAAUGGAAUUCCCGGUGUAGCGGUGAAAUGCGCAGAUAUCGGGAGGAACACCGGUGGCGAAGGCGGUUCUCUGGGCGUUACCUGACGCUGAGGAGCGAAAGCGUGGGGAGCGAACAGG
rnacentral:rRNA from 1 species